rnacentral:rRNA from 1 species
GAUGAACGCUGGCGGCGUGCCUAAUACAUGCAAGUCGAGCGCACGGACCAGGAGCUUGCUCCUCUGAGUUUAGCGCCGGAGGGGUGAGUAACACGUCGAUAACCUACCUAUAAGACUGGGGUAACUUCAGGAAACCGGAGCUAAUACCGGAUAAUAUAUUGAACCGCAUGGUUCAAGAGUUAAAGACGCUCUUGCUGUCACUUAUAGAUUGAUCCGCGCUGCAUUAGUUAGUUGGUAAGGUAACGGCUUACCCAGGCAACGAUGCAUACCCGCCCUGAGAGGGUGGUCGGCCAGACGGGAACUGAGAAAGGGUCCAGACUCCUACAGGAGGCAGCAGUAGAGAAUCUUCCGGAAGGGGCGAAAGCCUGACGUAGCAAAACCGCGUGAGUGAUGAAGGUGUUAUGAUCGUAAAACGCUGUUAGUAGGGAAGAACAAAUGUGUAAGUAACUGUGAACAUCUUGACGGUACCUAAACAGAAAGCCACGGCUAACUACGUG